rnacentral:lncRNA from 1 species
AAGGUUAACAUUCUUGAUCUUGAAUUUAAAAGUUCUAUGCUCAAAUUUUAAAGAUUAUUCAAUUUUCACCGUCAAUUUUGAUGUAAUUUAUUUACUAAGUAAACGAUAUCGAAAAAAACUAAAAUUUUAUUCCUAAGAAAUUCAUAUACCUUAGAUCAUAUUUAACGGUGUGGAUCGUUGAUUUGAACGCCCUAAGAUCGAAAACAAACACUAUAGUACCGGAGCUCGGUACUAUAGAUAGUAUAGUAGCCUAAUUCUAUAUAUAUAUAUAUAGUGUAGAGUUACUAUAUUAUCGUAAGUAUAGCGAAUUUAAUGCUUUCGAUUUUUUGACGCUUGGAUUAAAGAAUUCUACGAUUGGAAUGAUUGCGGCCCUCCCUAGAGUUGAGUAGUACUUCUAAAAUUGAGUGGUCCCCAUAGGGUAAUAGUAUUAAUCCAAAUGUUAGAAAUGAUCAAAAGGGUUGGUCGAUCUAAGGGUCAAAAUGUCGAAAGUAUCAGAUACUCUAUACUUCCGAUAGCAAAGAAACUAUACUCUCUCUCUCUCUCUUUCUCUCUCUCUUUCUCUAUAUAUAUAUAUAGGCUGGGGCUACUAUAUUCAUAUGAGUAUAGAGCCCUUUAUACUUAUAAGUUUUCGGCCGUUCGGAUGAAAAAAUAUGCGGCUAGGAUGAGAGUAGUUAUGGUUAGGUUGAUAGUGGGCCCCCUAAGGUUGAGUGGGUUGUUGGUUGAAUAGUAUAAUAUAACGAGUGAAAAUGAUUAAAGAGUAGAUCUAACGGCCAAAAAUUUGUGAGUACAAGAGUGGAUUUUAAAUUUUUUCACCCGUUAAAUUUCAAAACUAAGCCAAACCGAAUCCAUAAAUACAAACCCAACCAAAUAGUCUUAUUUGGUGUGGUUAGGUUAGGUUUUCGGUUUGGUACCAAACUACGUACGAGUCAUGGGAGCUUUUUGGCUCCAUGAUUGCUUAUGUUUUUGCUCGUUAUGCAUUACACACGGUGAGAAUGUAUGAUAGAAAUGUACUUCUUUUAUUCUCGUAAAAGAUAUCAUACUGUACAAACUCGAAUCAUUUUGUUACGUACAAUAUAAUUUCUAUGGUUCUACUGGAAAAUGAGGAAAAUAAUUUUGUAUGAUUUUGUCCCAACUUUUUUUUGCAUACUAAAAUGUUAGAUAGGUCUCAAUAUUACAUAAUAUAUUUGUACUUCAAAAUAAAAUUCAUAUAUAUAUAUAUAGAGAGAGAGAGAGAGAGAGAGAGAGAGAGUCUGGUUUGUGUGCCUUUAGAAGCAUCAUAACCGUUGUGCUAGCUAUUAAGUCAUUUCUGAUACUAAAACUUUUGUUAAAUUUGACCUAGUGCUAUAAGUAUUUAGAAAAUAAAUUUCAUAAUUUUUCACUAUCAUUUAUCUAAUAGCCGAAAUGACUCAAAAUUCAUGAUUGAAAAUAAAAAUAUCAUAAAAAGUAAUAAUAUGACACUAAAUUUUAGAUAAAAAAUAUUGAUCUUGUUUUAUAUUAGUAUAAAAAAAUUUUCUAUCAAAAUUUUAUGUGCUUUUAAUAUUUUUGCACUGUUAAAUUUGCAAAUAGCUCAUUAUAACUAUUAAAUUAGUGAUUAUAAGCCCCCUUAGUCAUUUGAUUAAUGCAAUUGAAAAAUCACGAAAUUUCUUUUUCAGAUAUUUCAAAUAUUCUAGAACAAGUUUAGAAAAAGCAAUCGUUGAUUUGGAAGUCCCAUUAUAAAAGAUAUUUUAAUAGUACGAAAAUCAUCGUGCUUCUAAAAAUAUACCAGCCUAACUUAUAUCUUUAUAUAUAUUUCUGCUUCAAUUUUUCUAACACACUAAACAUGUUGACAAAGCAUCAAGUGGUAUACAUGAAUGUGAUAGUGUAUUGGGAGGAGCAGAGAAAGAGUCCAUUAACAUGUUGGGGGUUCAAUGGCUCAAAUUGAGUGGUGUGGGAGGAAAAACAAAAAGAAAAAAGAAAAGCAAAGAAGCAAAGCUGGAAGGUUGAAUCUCACCGAAGGUCCCUAACACAAGUGGCAAAGGGCUUGGUGGUUGGUAUCUGAGGUUUCAUGUUCAAAUUCUAAUUGAUUGACAUUUUCAGCUAAAUUUAUUUCUAAAUAAAGUAAACGGAGCAGAUAGCAUACAAUCUAUUUCUCAAAAAAAACAAAAAAAAAAAAAAAAUCUUGAGAAUCUUGAUUGUUGACUGUUGAGGAGAAGGUCAAAGAAGGAAGGCAGGCAGGCCAUCAAUCAAUCCAUCCAAGGUGCUGAUCAUCCACUUACAGCACUUGAAUUGACAUGCAUGUUGUGGGCGGGGAUGUGGAUAAUUUGAAGAAUUAAGGAACUUAUUCGAUACUAAACGAAUAUAAUUUUGAAUAAAAUAUAAAAAGUAAAAAUUCGACUAAUUGAAUUUGGGUAUAAAUUUUAUCUCUAGCUGGUUGGAACUUGAAUUCCAAUAUGACCCGAACCCAAAUUAAUUUAUAUAUAUUAAAUGAUUAAUGUUAUUUUUGAGUUUGUAUUUUAAAACUUUAGAUUUAAUAUAAGAUAUUGUUUUGAAAUUAACAGGAUAAAGAGAAAUAAUUAUUUCGAAUUCAUAUUUUUAUGUUUAGAUUUAGUUUUAGGAUUACUGGCCAGAUUCGGAUUAGGAUAUGGAUUUUUAAAAUCUAUUGAAUUAGGAUUUCGAUUCGGAGUUUGUGUUUGGUAGUUGGGUUUGGAUAGAGGUUUUUGAAAACCCGCCCUGAAUUGACCCCAUUGACAUCCCUAGUUGUGGGUUUCCCUACGGAUAAACUCCAUGUUUGGUCCUCAAACUGUGAACUGUGUGACAUUUUGACACUAAAAUUUUAAUUUAUUUAUCAUAAUUUUUGCUCAAAUUAUAUAAAUUAUUAUAAUCAAUCCCUACAAUAUAACUUAGUUGACUAAAUUAUAAUGCAUCGCUGAUUUGAAAGUGACACGAUGUUUUAAUUAUUAUCGUAUCAUCAAUUACAUAUCAAUUAAAUUGAAUUGUAGAAUUUGAUUGUAAUAAUUUAAAAAGUGCUAUAUCAUCUAGAGCGAUAUAUCAAUAUUUAGUUAACUGGGAUUGUAGAAUUUGAUUAGAACAAUUCAAAAAGUUCAAACCAUAAAUUAUAAAGAAGUUUGAGGAUCAAACUGUCACAUAACAAAUAGUUUGAGGGGCAAACGUGCAAUUUAGCCGUUUCCCUACGCACAUCCAAAAAUGAUGCAGACUCUUUAAAAUAAGAUCGAGUUGAUAGAAAAUGAAUCGAGAUUAGUCAUAACAAUUUCGCUCAGGCACAUAAAAGAUAUCAAGUGAAUCAUGACAUGUGUAUUGACUAAAAUGGCAUGCCCUAAUAUGACACAUGCAGAAAUAAAAUUCAGAACCUCUUAGAAUGGGAAGGGCUUAGAACUAGCUCUUAUACUGUGCUACCCAAAAGAUUGUUAAUAGAAAAUGGAAUAGGGUUAGGCCCUGUUUGGCCUAACUAUUUUACAGUGAUUUUCGGCUGAAAAUCACUUUUAGGCCCAAUAGAGUGUUUGGUAAAGAUAUCUCAAAAAUCUGAUUCUGUUUUCUAAAAACUGAAAACUUAUUCUUCAACCCCCAAAAGCAGAAGCUGAAAAAACCUGCUUCUCAAAACUGAUUCCCGCACAAGUUGUUUCCCCACUUAAAAUUUUUUACUAAAAUACCAAAAUUACUCUUAAACAAACAAUACAAUUCUAUCAUACCCUUUUAUAAUUAAUAAUACCUCUCCCAUUACUCACAAUUCUAUUAUACUCUUUUAUAAAAAUUUUACAAAUUUGAAAUUAAAAUUUUAAAUAUUCAAAAUUUAAAUUUUAAAAUUUUAAAAUUUUAAAAUAUAAAAUUUAAUAUUUAAAAUUUAAAAUUUAAAUUUUAAAAUAUAAAAUAUAAAAUUUAAAAUUUAAAAUUUAAAAUUUAAAUUUUAAAAUAUAAAAUUUAAUAUNNNNNNNNNNNNNNNNNNNNNNNNNNNNNNNNNNNNNNNNNNNNNNNNNNNNNNNNNNNNNNNNNNNNNNNNNNNNNNNNNNNNNNNNNNNNNNNNNNNNNNNNNNNNNNNNNNNNNNNNNNNNNNNNNNNNNNNNNNNNNNNNNNNNNNNNNNNNNNNNNNNNNNNNNNNNNNNNNNNNNNNNNNNNNNNNNNNNNNNNNNNNNNNNNNNNNNNNNNNNNNNNNNNNNNNNNNNNNNNNNNNNNNNNNNNNNNNNNNNNNNNNNNNNNNNNNNNNNNNNNNNNNNNNNNNNNNNNNNNNNNNNNNNNNNNNNNNNNNNNNNNNNNNNNNNNNNNNNNNNNNNNNNNNNNNNNNNNNNNNNNNNNNNNNNNNNNNNNNNNNNNNNNNNNNNNNNNNNNNNNNNNNNNNNNNNNNNNNNNNNNNNNNNNNNNNNNNNNNNNNNNNNNNNNNNNNNNNNNNNNNNNNNNNNNNNNNNNNNNNNNNNNNNNNNNNNNNNNNNNNNNNNNNNNNNNNNNNNNNNNNNNNNNNNNNNNNNNNNNNNNNNNNNNNNNNNNNNNNNNNNNNNNNNNNNNNNNNNNNNNNNNNNNNNNNNNNNNNNNNNNNNNNNNNNNNNNNNNNNNNNNNNNNNNNNNNNNNNNNNNNNNNNNNNNNNNNNNNNNNNNNNNNNNNNNNNNNNNNNNNNNNNNNNNNNNNNNNNNNNNNNNNNNNNNNNNNNNNNNNNNNNNNNNNNNNNNNNNNNNNNNNNNNNNNNNNNNNNNNNNNNNNNNNNNNNNNNNNNNNNNNNNNNNNNNNNNNNNNNNNNNNNNNNNNNNNNNNNNNNNNNNNNNNNNNNNNNNNNNNNNNNNNNNNNNNNNNNNNNNNNNNNNNNNNNNNNNNNNNNNNNNNNNNNNNNNNNNNNNNNNNNNNNNNNNNNNNNNNNNNNNNNNNNNNNNNNNNNNNNNNNNNNNNNNNNNNNNNNNNNNNNNNNNNNNNNNNNNNNNNNNNNNNNNNNNNNNNNNNNNNNNNNNNNNNNNNNNNNNNNNNNNNNNNNNNNNNNNNNNNNNNNNNNNNNNNNNNNNNNNNNNNNNNNNNNNNNNNNNNNNNNNNNNNNNNNNNNNNNNNNNNNNNNNNNNNNNNNNNNNNNNNNNNNNNNNNNNNNNNNNNNNNNNNNNNNNNNNNNNNNNNNNNNNNNNNNNNNNNNNNNNNNNNNNNNNNNNNNNNNNNNNNNNNNNNNNNNNNNNNNNNNNNNNNNNNNNNNNNNNNNNNNNNNNNNNAAUUUUAAAUUUUAAAUAUUUAAAUUUUAAAUUUUAAAUUUUAAAUUUCAUAAUUAUUUUAAAUUUUAAAUUUUUAAAUUUUUAAAAUUUUAAAUUAUUUUUUAAAUUAAAAUAUCAAUUUUAAAUUUUGUAUAAUUUUGAAAUUUAAAAUUUUAAUUUUAAUUGAAAUUGAAAUUGAAAUUUUAAAUUAUUUUAAAAUAAAAUUUAAUAAAAUAAUUAAUUUAUGCAAACAUUAAAAAAAAUUUCCAAACAGCUUUUCAAAAUUACUUCAGAAAAAUCGCUUUUAUCUAUACUCAGCCAAACGCUCUACAGCUUUUAACUAAAAUCACUUUUUUAAACCAAAAUCAUUUUUUCAUAAAUCACUUUUUCAGAAACUAAGCCAAACGAGCCCUUAAUCUUAACAACUCUUCUGAACGAAAGUCUUAUUUGUCACAGUAAUAACCAGAUAGGAUAUAUUUUGGUAUUUUAAAUCAACUUUAUGCUAUGUGCAGAAGUAAAGAAUCUAGUUUACAAGGGCACUAUAAUAAUUUUAGCAUUGAAAUGAUAUUUAAAAGACAAAAAAUUAUCAGGUGUUGAUGUGUUGGCAAUUCUAUAUAAUAAUCUUUGGUUACGUACAUUAACUAAUCAAAUAUAUAUAUCUUCAUGACGAAGCCAAAAUAAUAAUUAUAUAUAUAGGCAAUAUUGUGGGUAACUUUUAAGUGGUACCUAUGUUGAUCUAACUAGAAUUUGUUUCCUUGUUCUUGCACAAAAGCAGACAUUGAAGGGAGGCAAAAUAAGUCCAAGUCCUCAAAAAUAAUUGCAAAAAAUUUCUUUAUUUGUUUCAUAAUUCUUUUUCUCUUUUUUAUUUUGUAAAUUUACAUUAUUUUCACUAUUUCAUUAAUAAAAUUUUUCACUUAAAGUAAGAAGUUAGGCAAUUUAAAUACGAUUUUAAUUUUAUUAUUUAGCCCCUAAAUUUUUUCUAUNUAUAUAUAUAUAUAUCUGUGUGUGUAGAGCUACUAUAUUUUCGGAAAUAUAAAAUAGUUGAAAUUUCUGAUUUUUUGAUUCUUCAAUUAAGAAUUGUAAAAUUGGAAUUAUAAUUGUCCCCCAUGGAAUUGACUGGUCCCUGGGAUUGAGUGGUCCCCCUAAAGUAAAAAUAUUAUUCCAAGGGCUUGAAAUGAUCAAAGUGUUUGAUUCAAGAGUUAAAAAAUUGAAACCACCAUAUGAGCGGCAUAAUAGGACUCUCUCUCUCUCUCUCUCUCUCUCUCUCUCUAUAUAUAUAUAUAUAUCAAAAAAUCAACCGAUUUUGAUUCUUUUACACCAUUAAACUAGCGAAUAUCGCAUAUCGACCGUUAAAAAUUAUCAAUUUUGUGACAUUUUGAUCGUAAGGUAAAUGAUGUCGAAAAAUUAUGAAAUUUGAUUUUUAUAAAUUUUAAAUGCUCAAGAUAAUGUUUAAUGAUAUGGAUCGUCGAUUCGGAAGCUCUAUCAUCGAAAACGACUUAUGAGUACGAGGACGAUCGUACUCAUAAGAGUAUAGUAGCUGAACUCUAUAUAUAUAGAGAGAGAGAGAUAGUUGGGCUAGAAUAUUAUUGAUAGCAAAAAAUUCUUUUUGUUAUCAAAUUUUUAGCCUUUGAAUCAACUCCUUUCCUUUCAUCAUUUUCAACAAUUGGAUUAACUAUUAUAACAUAGUGGGGACCACUCAACCCUAAGGGAUUAAUAUCAUCCUAAUCUUAAAAUUUUUUAUCCAAGAGUUAAAAACUUGAUAGCAAAAAUAGUCUUUUGCGAUCAACAGUAUUCCAGUCCAACUCUCUCUCUCUCUCUCUCUCUCUCUCUCUCUCUCUCUCUCUCUCUCUCUCUCUCUCUCUCUCUCUCUAUAUAUAUAUAUAUAUAUAUAUAAAGUUGAGCUAGAAUACUACCGAUAGCAAACGGGCUCCGUUGCCACCCAUUUGUUUUCGAUGAUAUAGCCUCCAAAUCGACAGUCGGUACCGUUGAACAUGAUCUAUACCACUUAAAGUAUUUAGAAAUCAAAUUUCAAAUCUUUUCGAUAUCAUUUACCUAAUGAUCAAAGGGUUUCAAAAUUUGUAAUUUUAAUGGUCGAUGUGAAGCGUUUUCUCGUUUAAUGGCAUAAAGAUAUUCAAAUCAAUUGAAUUUUUGUUAGAAAAUUUUUUAAACUAUUUAAAACAAGAUCUGUACUCUUGAUCUUGAUUACAAGACUCCUAUCAUCAUUUUUUAAAGAAUAUUAAUUUUCAGCCGUUCAUUUUUUAUGUCCACUUGAUGGAUAAGAAAAUAAUAUAAAAAAUGUAUGAAAUUUGAUUUCUAAACACUUCAAGUAGAAUAGAUCAUGUUCAACAGUGCCGAUCGUCGAUUUGGAGGCUCCAUCAUCGAAAACAAAUGGGUGGCAACGGAGCCCGUUUGCUAUUGAUAGUAUUCUAGCCCAACUCUCUCUCUCUCUCUCUCUCUCUAUAUAUAUAUAUAUGCUUUUAAAAGUACCAAGUCAUUGGUGCUUGUAAGUUUUCGGCCCUUGGAUUAAGGAAUGUGCGGUUACGAUGAUAUGGGCACCCUAGGGUUGAGUGGGUGGUUGGUUGAAUAGUAUAAUCUAACGGGUGAAAAUGAUCAAAGGUGUCGAUCUAACGGAAAAAAAUUUAGAAGCACCAAGUGCUUGGUGCUUUUAUAAGCACCGUAGCCGGACUAUAUAUAUAUAUAUAUAUUAGUAACAACUCUUAAACCAUGUUAUUUGAAAUUAAAAUUGAGUCAGUAGGGAAUGACUUAGGAAUAAUCUUUACAAGCCCUAAUUUUAUUUGGAUAUUGCAGCUUUUUAGUUUAGAUAGAUUCUGUAUGGCCCAUGGCCCUAUCUCUAAAAAACAGGCCAUUAGUGAUCCACCAGGAUCCAGGUUGUAAAGUUUGGUUUAACUAGGCAUAUCAAUGUGUAGGAAUACUCAAAAUUUUAUCCGAAUCUAAAUCUGAACGGAGCGAAUUUAUUCAAUUUUAAAUAGAUAUAAUUUUGGAUACGAAUAUAAAAAACGAAAGCACGGCGGAUUUGGGUUUGGAUAUAGAUUUUGUUUAUACUUGAGCUCGACCCAAACCCGAAUUGAUUUUGUAUUAUAGAAUAUAUCCUAUUUAUAUUUGAAUUUGUAUUUUAAAAAUUUAGACUUAAUAUAAUAUGUUUUGAAAUACGUUAAAGAGAAAUAAUUGUUUCGCAUUCGAAUUUCAGAAUUUUGGUCGGGUUCAGAUCUGGAUAUGGAUUUUUAAAAUCCGUUGAAUUUGAGUUCGUCUUCGGAUUCGGGUUUUGGAUUUGAUAUUUGGUUGUCCCGAAUCCGACCUGUUGACAUUCCACGGUUGACCAAAAGAGAGAGAGGGGAGGGACCUAAAAUGUUGGACCUCUUUAUCAAUGAUUCAAAGGAUCUGAGUCGUCAAGUUUGGCUUGAGUUGAUACAUUAACUGUUAGGAUUUAGUUAGAUUUGUAGUUGAAUCCUAGUUAAAUAAGAAUUAAUAUUUAAAUCUGUUGGAGAUAAAUUAAGAUUUAAAUAUUAAUUAGAGGAUAAACCUAACUAGAUUAGGAUUAAUAUUUAAAUCUNAGGAGACAAGCUCAAGGUGGAGCUUGCAUGGUGAGCUCGACGUGACGGUUGAAAAUUACAAAUCCAACCAAGGUAGAGAUUGUUAAGAUUUGGUUAGAUUUGUAAUUGAAUCCUGUUUGGAUAAUAAUUAAUAUUUAAAUCUGUUGGAGAUAAAUUAAGAUUUAAAUAUUAAUUAGAGGAUAAACCUAACUAGAUUAGGAUUAAUAUUUAAAUCUACUAGAGAUUAAUUAAGAUAGAUUUAGAUAUUAAUUAGAGUAGAAAUCCUAAAUAUACUAGAAUUGGGUACAUUCUAGUUAGAGCAUUAUAUAUAAUGCAUUAGAGUCUUUUUUUUGAAGGAGUACUGGCAUUGGUGUGUCGUACUAGAGAGAGAAAAAGAGAGAGAGUUAUUUUAGUGCACCUUGUGCACGGGUGCACGCUGAGAGGUCUUCUUUGUGGGUUCAUAGAAGACGAGAGAAAGGUAGGAAAGAUUCAAAAAGAGGGAUAGGGUUGUAGCUACUCUGUUGCAGAAGAGGAGUCAGGUGUAAUCUUCUCUUAUUUAAUGAAUCUUAUUUUACCCGCAUAUUUUCUGUUUUGGUUUUUUCUCUCUUUUAUGAUUGUAUCAACUUUUGCUGAGGAGACGGAUUUAUGGUAAAAACGCGAUUCAACGCUUCCGUUGCGAAAUCCCAACAAUCGAUACUGGACCCACAGCAGUCGGUAUCGGAGCGGGUUGCGGAUUCACGAGAUCCGGUACCGGGGUGAGUACCAGAUUCCUAACAAGUGGUAUCAGAGCCGAAGGUUACCGAUCUGCUGGAGAGAUCGACGGAGAUGGCCACGAAAUUCGAAAUCGAGAAGUUCGACGGCAAGACAAUUUCGGAUUAUAGCAAAUUAAAGUGCGAGCAAUCCUCGUACAGCAAGAGUUAGACGAGACGUUGAACGGGAAGGAGGCAAAGCCGGCGGAGGUCACGGAUGCAGCAUGGACGAAGAUGGAGCGGAAGGUGCUGAGUACGCUUCAUCUAUCAUUAGCAGAUGAGGUUCUUUACAAUGUAGCCGGCGAGACGACACCGGUGAAAUUGUGGAAGAAAUUGGAAGAUCUGUACAUGACCAAAUCCCUGACGAACAAAUUGUAUCUAAAGCAGCGACUGUUUACGUUGCGGAUGCAAGAAGCGGCGAACCUACAUGAUCAUCUAAAUGAGUCAACAAGGUGGUGGCCCAGUUGACCAGCAUCGGAGUCAAUCUGGAUGACGAAGACAAGGCAUUGAUCCUACUAUCUUCGCUACCGACGACAUAUGAGUAUCUGGUGACCACGUUGCUUUAUGGCAAGGAGUCCAUAAGCGUGGAUGCGGUCACGGCGGCGCUUCUCUCGAACGAGAUGCGGAAGAUGACUCAGGAGUCCGGCACGCAAAGUUAGGAUGUAGGACUGGUGGUGACUGCGAAGAAGGACGUGAGAAUAUCGGCGACCGGAUAUCGACAGAAGAAAUCGCUAUCUGAGGUAGAAUGCUUUUACUGUCACAGGAAGGGGCAUAUCAAGCGCAAUUGUCGAAAACUUCAGGAUGAUCUGAAAGAGUUAAAGCGACAGAAGGAGCAAACUGUCGUGAACCAGGACGAGACGGUAUCAGCGACGGCACAGAUAGCAGAGUCGGAGAUGAUCGAUUCUGAUGUGCUGUAUGCGGCGAUCGGAGGUGCGAAAAUUUCGGACGAUGCGUGGGUGCUCGAUUCGGCGUGUUCUUUUCACGUAUGCCCGGAGAAGGAGUCUUUUGCCACCUAUAAGCCGAUAAAAGGUGGAAAGGCGCUGAUCGGGAACGGGACAGCGUGCAAAGUAUUGGGAGUCGGCAUGGUGAAAAUUCGAAUGCACGAUGGGGUCGUGAGGACGCUGACAGGUGUGCGGCACGUUCCUGGAUUGAAGCGGAAUUUGAUCUCGUUAGGCGCAUUGGACUCGAAAGGUCGCGAUAUUUCGGCUUCAGGUGGAGCUAUGAGGGUCCGAAAACGAGAUCGGGUCGUGUGCGAGGCGAACAAGCGUGGGAACUUAUACGUUCUGAACGGGAGCAUAGUCUGAACGGAAGCAAAGACGGUUUGGGUUCCAAAAGUUCGUGGAGGUGCAGUCGCUCUAGGCGAAGCGACGGAUGCGGCGACAUCGAGCGGAGGAGACAAGCUCAAGGUGGAGCUUGCAUGGUGAGCUCGACGUAGCGGUUGAAGACUACAAAUCCAACCAAGAUGGAGAUUGUUAGGAUUUAGUUAGAUUUGUAGUUGAAUCCUAGUUAGAUAAAAAUUAAUAUUUAAAUCUGUUGGAGAUAAAUUAAGAUUUAAAUAUUAAUUAGAGGAUAAACCUAACCAGAUUAGGAUUAAUAUUUAAAUCUACUAGAAAUUAAUUAAGAUAGAUUUAUAUAUUAAUUGGAGUAGAAAUCCUAAAUAUACUAGAAUUGGGUACAUUCUAGUUGGAGCAUUAUAUAUAAUGCAUUAGAGUCUUUUUUUUGGAGGAGUACGGCUGGAACCAUUGGGGUAUCGUAUCAGAGAGAGAAAGAGAGAGAGAGUUAUUUUAGUGCACCUUGUGCACGGGUGCACGCUGAGAGGUCUUCUUUGUGGGUUCAUAGAAGACGAGAGAAGGGUAGGAAAGAUUCAAAAAGAGGGCUAGGGUUGUAGCUACUCUGUUGCAGAAGAGGAGUCAGGUGUAAUUUUCUCUUAUUUAAUGAAUCUUAUUACCCGCAUAUUUUCUAUUUUGGUUUUUUUCUCUCUUUUAUGAUUGUAUCAACUUUUGCUGAGGAGACGGAUUUAUGGUAAAAACGCGAUUCAACGCUUCCGUUGCGAAAUGCCAACAAUCGAUACCGGAUCCACAGCAGUCGGUAUCGGAGCGGGUUGCGGAUUCAUGAGAUCCGGUACCGGGGCGAGUACCGGAUUCCUAACAUUAACACCGUUCGAAGGACAUGUUUUUCACGUACGAACUCUGAUCACAACUAUUUUUUAUUGUACGCAUGCAAAUCGAGGAGAAGUAGUUGGGCUUCGGUAACCAAACUUAGUACACAAGUACUACUAAGUUCGGUAUAAGUUUUAGAACGUUUUCAGGUCCUUUCGGCCUUUGGAAUCAUAAUUAAAGUUCGGCUUGUCAUUCAACAAAAGUUUAAGCAAAGUUCGACUUUCCAUUCAAAAAAAAAAAAUUUAUCAUGAAUAUUUUUUAUUUGUAAGGAAUAGGAUUUCAUAUGUAGUAAAUUUUGAUGCACUCCAUCAAUUCUUUUCGUAUUAUUAGACUGAUUUUUCAAAAAAGAUGGUUGUAAUCUUUUUGAUAAAAAAAAUAAUGUAAUAAAAAUAAUAUUUAAUUUUGGCUAACAUCUCUUCUCUAUACUACUUUAAUUCCGCGGGCUUACCGAGUAGGCCCGGCCCAAAAUAGGGAUAAUUGCCUAUAUACCCCCUUAAAACUUUGAAAAUAUCUCAUUUACUCCUUUUUUUUUUUUUCUUUCCAAUAUACCCCUCAUAUGUUCUUCCAUUAUUCCAAAAUACCUCUACAGUUACUACUCGUUAGAUUAACUUGCUAGAGUUAAAAAAAAUCAAAAUGCUUAUUUUGCCUCAACUGAAGGGCAAAUAAGAAAUGUUGGUGAUUGUAGAAGGAUAUAUUUGAAGAGACUAAAAAUUAAAAUACUUUUUGUGCCCCUAACUUAAGAGCAAAUAAGAAAAGUUGGUGAUGGUGGAAGGGUACAUUUAAAAGGGCAAAAUAGUAAUUUUAUACAGAUAACAGCUAUUGCUAAUAGUUCAUUAAUUAACAGAAUUUAACUCUAGGGGUAUAUUUGAAAUAUAUUGGAACGUAAAAAAGGUAUUUUCAAAAUUAGCCUUCUAAGAAAGAUAAAUCAGAAAGUCGAGAACUUUUCAGGAGAAUAUAAACAAUUGUCCCUUAUAAAUAUUACUAAAAUUAUUUAAAAAAUAUGUAAAAAUCUAAAAUUAUUUAAAAAUUAUGUAAUUUUUCUUGUAAAUAAAUAAAUAAUUGUAUAUUUUAUAGAAAUAAUAUUAAAAAUUUUAAAAGUAAAUUUUUUAAAAAAUGACGAAUAUAAACAAUUGUCCCUUAUAAAUAUUACUAAAAUUAUUUAAAAAAUAUGUAAAAAUCUAAAAUUAUUUAAAAAUUAUGUAAUUUUUUUUGUAAAUAAAUAAUUGUAUAUUUUAUAGAAAUAAUAUUAAAAAUUUUAAAAGUAAAAUUUUUUAAAAAUGAAAAGAUUAAUUAAAACUUAAAAAAGGCCUUAGGCCUUAGAAGUUACACCAUAGGCUAAUUCGAGGAAUCUGAUCAAGAAGAUUCAAACAAACGCAAGAUUUUUUUUUUUUUUCGAUAAUAGUAGUUCUCGGUUACCUAAAAUAACCUAGUAUAACUAUCCCUACCAACAACUCUAUUUUUUAUAUAUAACUAUCCACUAUUUUUCUUAUUCCAUAUUAUCUAUCCAAAUUCUAUUUUUCUUAUUCCUGGAACAACUCAAUUUUUAUCCAAACGCUAUUUUUCUUAUCCCCAUACUUGUACCUAUCCCCGUAAUAGCUAGUUCAAUUUUAUUUUAAGAAAGAAUAGUUAAUCCGUCUAAUGGGGAAAAUUUUGUUUUGUUUAUUUAUUUUAAAUUCUAUAAAUAUUUAAAAAAAUUUAAAAAAAUGUAUAAAAAUAUGCAAAAAAAUUUAAUUUUUUUCCUCAAUAACCAAAAUAUUUUUUUAAAAUCUAAUUAAUCCCAUUAGUAAACCCUAAAAGGAUUACAUAUUUUGGAAUUACAAAUAUCCUAAAAUUUAGGAUUUUAUUAAGAAUAGAAUUAGGAUUUUUUUUUUAUAUAUAGAGACAGUUUUGGUAAAUAUUCUUUUUUCAUUUUUUUUUUAUCUUUGUAAUUUGUAUUUUUCAUUUAUGUAUAGUUUCCAUUUUUUAUUUUUUACAUUUUAUGAUCAGAUCAGCUACAGCAAUAAUUCCAAAAGGCCUUAGUUAACUUAAGAGAAAUUAUUUAUUAAUUAAUAUUUUUCCGGCUUCGGAAUUAUUUUCAUAUAAGGGCCCAUUUGGCAAUUACAUGAAUUAAAAAUAGAGUAAUCUGAAAAUUCUGAUUACUCUGAAAUAUUUUACUUUAUUUUUUCGUGUUCGGAUAAAAUGUUGUAUCUUUUACGGAAUAGAAAAAAUGGUUAGUUAGUGUUCGUUAGAGUAUUUUUAAAACUCAUAUACCUAUACUAUUAUAUACCCUAAGAUAUACCUAACUACUACAUAUACAAUAUUAUAAUAUAAUUAUAUAUAUAUAUGUAAUGUACGUGCAAAUGCACGUAAUAAUUAUUAGAAAAAGUUAUAAUUUUUUAAAAAUUUAUUUUUUAAUUUAGGCCAUAUUUUUAUAUGAUUGCAAAUGGUGUAACUAAAAAUUUAAAUAAUAAAUCACACUAUUAAGAAAGAUAUGCUUUAAAUGAUAAAAAAUUAACAAUAAUCUCUAAUGCAAAAAUUAUUUUUGAAAUUAAAUAGAAAAAUAAAAUCUGUUAGGAAAUAAAUUUUGAAAUUAAAUAGAAAAAUAAAUCCGUUAUCUUAAAAAGAAAAUAUAUUUUUGAAAUUAAAAAUUAAAUAGAUAAUAUCUAAAAAAGAUAUUUUAAAAUAAAAUAGGAAAAUAUCUUUUAUAGGAUUUUCACACUCGUAAUCUGUUAUAGAAAAUUUACUUUUGAUAUUAAAUAGAAAAAUUUAUAUUUUAGGAUUUUCACAUCAGUAAUGUGUAAUAGAGAACUUACGUAUUCAUUGCUAUUUUUAUUUCUAUUUUUAUUCUUAUAUUUAAAAUUUUUCGUACGGAAAGAGAAAAAUAUGCGCUAAUUUUCCCGCCGAAAAAUGGGUCUGUCGACAGACCUAAAUUUGAAUAUACGUGCUUUUAUAUAUAUAUAUAUAUAUAUAUAUAUAUAUAUAUAUAUAUAUAUAUAUAUAUAUAUAUAUAUAUAUAAAAGAUUGAUCGAACUCGCCGUUAUGAUGUUAUAAAAAUGAUAAAAUAGUUUUAUAAUAUCCAAAAUUGAGGCCUCAUUCAAUGAAGUGCUUACUAAGGCACAAUUUUAGAAUGCACUUUUAGGAGAAAGCAAAUUCAUUCAAAUCUCUUUAAAAAUAAUGUAAAAAUAAUAGUUGUGUGCUCAUAAAAUAACUAUUUACUCCAAAAUUUUAAGCCGUAAGAAAAUAAUAUUUUAAUAUUUGUAAUUAUUUUUUUUCAAUUUUCUGCUCGGAACUAAUUAAAGGAACCGGCCGUGGAGUUACCAAAUAUGCCUUAAACCCACGUAGCAUACUAGCACAGUAAAAACAAAAUCUUUCAUAGAUGAAAAAAAAUAAAAAUAAUCAUAAAAAAUAAAUAUAAAAAUAAAAAAAUAAUAAAACGAACAAAAAAACACAAGAACAUAGAAUUUAUAUGGUUCGGCUAAUAAUGACUCGACCUGUGUUCACGGGCAAAAUAACCUCAAUACGUUUUUUGAUUAAUUCACAGUAUAAAAAUAUAAAAAGUGAAAUUAAAUUAUAAAGUACUCUGUCUCAAAAGAUGUUCAAUUUUUUUUUCCUCCACUAGAGUGUCUGUGAAGAAGCUCAUAUAUCUAAAUAUGAAUUAGAUAUAUGUUGGGAAUCCGGUACUCGCUCCGGUACCGGAUCUCGUGAAUCCGCAACCCGCUCCGAUACUGACUGCUGUGGAUCCGGUAUCGAUUGUUGGAAUUCCGCAACGGAAACGUCAAAUCGGAUUUUUUACCAUAAACCCGUCUCCUCAGCAAAAACUGAUAUAAUCAUAAAAGAGAAAAAUAUGCAGGUAAAAUAAGAUUCAUUAAAUAAGAGAAGAUUACACCUGACUUCUCUUCUGCAACAGAGUAGCUACAACCCGAGUCCUCUUUUUGAAUCUCUUCUAUUAUUCUCCCGUCUUUUAUAAACCUAAAAUACAAUCCAUCUACGUGCACUCGUGCACUAGGUGCACAAAAUAACUCUCUCUCUCUCUCUCUUUUUCUCUUUGCGUACUCUUCCCAAAAAGAGACUCUAAUGCAUUAUAUAUAAUUAAUGCUCCAUCAAGAAUGUACCCAAUUCUAAUAUAUUUAGAAUUCCUACUCUAAUAAAUAUUUAAAUCUGAAUUGAUUUAUCUCCAAUAGAUUUAAAUAUUUAUCCUAAUCUAGUUAGAUUCAUUCUCUAAUUAAUAUUUAAAUCUUAAUUUAUCUCAAACAGAUUUAAAUAUUAAUUCUUAUCUAAAUAAGAUUUAACUACAAAUCUAACCAAAUCCUAACAAUAUAUCCUUGUCACGAGUUUUCAAAGUAAUUUGUAAAAUUCUCGGCACGAGUUUUAUGGUCAAAAAAUAGCUCCAUGUAUGUAGAUUAUUUUUUUUUGGAGGUAUGUGUUCACACGUGCCCUAAUUAAUAAUGUGAUAGAAGAAUUAAAUCAGAGAAUAUGACUCGCAUGUUCCUGCGUCGUGACAAAGUCCAAAGUUGUACCACACAAAUAAUUGGAGUAUAUAAUAAAUAUCUUAGAAAAUCUAUAAGAAUGCGAUGGAAGUAUCAGAAUCGAUGACCGGCACUACCUUAAAUAUAAUCUAAACUCUUAAAAGUACUUAGAAAUUAAUUUUCAUGAUUUGUCGACAUUAAUUACCUAUAGAUCCAAUAGUUUCAAAAUGAAUGGUGGGAAAUAAAUAUAUCUAAAAAUAAUGACAAAUGACUUAAAUUUCAGAUCAGAUAUACUGAUGUUGUUCUAAAUAGUAAAAGAAAAAUCUAUCAACAUUUUAGUGAAUUUGGAUUGUUAAUUAUACACCGUUUAACUUACAUUUAAUUAUAUCAUUAAGAUUAUUAAUUUUGAGACCUUUUGAUCACUAAUCAGGUGAUGUCAAAAAAAAUAUAAAAUUUAAUUUUUGGAUAUUUUCAAUAGCGUAGAUUAUUUCUAGCAAAGAGCUGAUCGUCGAUUUGAAUGUUUUAUCAUAAAAAAUAAUUUGACAGUACUAGGAGGCUACCUUACUGAGUAGGGAUCUAUUUGCACAAGCAGUUUUUAAGUCACGCCCUGCAUACUUUUUACACAAGCUAAAAUUUAAUUAUAAAAGUUUCAAAAUAAAGUUCUUAACUCUUAAAAGUGAUUUACAAUAAAAAAGACAGCUUUAAACAAAAAAUUAGAAUUUUGAGUUUUCAAAUUUGGCUAUUUUUGAAAAUUAUGAAUUGUUGAUUUUAACACCACUUGAUACAUAGGGAAUCAGUUUUCAAAAAUUGUGAAAUUUUAUGAGCAUACAUUCUAGAUGUUCUUAAUCAUAUUAAUUGGUUUAGGUCUUAAUUUUAGAUUCUCUAAAUUUGAAUUUACACUUGUGUAAAAAUUUGUGUAACUUACAGAGCACAUCUCUUGUACUUUCGAAAAUACGGAGACCUCCGUGCUUGUAAGUUGUUUUCGAUAAUAGGACAUCCAUUUCGAUGAUCGGCUCCGUUAGAUAUAAUCUAUCCUAUUGGAGCUAUUUAGAAACCAAAUUUUAUAAUUUUUUGACAUCAUUUACUGCGCGAUCAAAAGGUCUCAAAAAUGACUAUUUUAAUGGCUGAUGUGGCUCGUUUUUAAAUUCAACGGUGUGGAAAUAUCCAAAUUAUAUGAAAAUUUAAUAAAAAUUUUACUUAAUAUAAAUAUCAAGAUCAAUACUUCCAAUUUGAAAUUUGAAUCAUUUAUUACUAUUUUUUAUGAUAUUUUUAAUUUCAGCCAUUCAUUUUGAGGCUACUUAUUCACUAGACAAACGAAUUCAAAAAUUUAUGAAAUUUGGUUUCUAGAUAGUUCCAAUAGCAUAGAUCAUGUUUAAUGGAAUUGAUCACUGAAUCAGAUGUCCCAUCAUCGAAAACAACUUACAAGCACAGAGGCCUCCGUACUUUUGAAUGUAUAUGAGCUAGCUCGUUACUUACAUAAAUGUUACCUGAUCUCUAUACUCUCUCUCUCUCUCUCUUUCUAUAUAUAAAGAGAGAGAGAAAGAGGAGAGGGAGUGAGACCAUUGCAAGACUACCAUCGUAAUAAAUAGCUCGAUUUACUAUCAAUUUAUUUUCGAUAAUAGAGUUUUCAAAUCGUCGAUCGGCAUCAUUGAAAAUAAUUUAGAUCAUUUAAAUUAUUUAAAAACUAAAUUUUAUACUUUUUUGCUUUUAUUAAUUGAACGAUCAAAAGAUCACAAAAUUUUUAAUUUUAAUAGCUGAUACGAUGCGCUUGCUCGUUUAGAGUUGAUGUAGCGUAUUUGAAGUAUUUGGUAAAUAAAUUUUGCUAUUUUUUGAUAUUAUUUAUCUAGUGAUCAAAAGUGUUCAAGUCUAACGGAGCCGUUCAUCGAUUCGAAAGAUCCAUCGUAGAAAACGGCUUAAGAGCACGGAGGCCUCCGUGCUCCUAAUAUCACACAAGACCUGUCAUAUAUAAAUACAUAUAUAUAUAUAUAGAGAGAGAGAGUUGAGCUGCAAUACUAUUAAUAGUAUUUGAGCUUUUUUACUAUCGAUUUUUUAGCCAUUAGAUCUAUAUUUUAAUUAAUUCCACUAUUUAGAUCAUACUAUUCAACCAACCACCGCUAAACCCUAGGGGACCACUAUUAUCCUAAUCCCACAAUUUUUCAUCCAACGAUGAAAAAUUCGAUAGCAAAAGAGCCCAUAUAGUAUUCUAGCUCAAUUAUAUAUAUAUAUAUAUAUAUAUAAUUGAGCUCCUAUGCUUUUAAAAGUACCAAGUCAUUGGUACUUGUAAGUUUUCGGCUCUUGGAUUAAGGAAUGUGCGGUUAGGAUGAUGUGGUUGGGUGAAUAGUAUAAUCUAACGGGUAAAAAUGAUCAAAGGCGUAGAUCCAUCGGUAAAAAAUUUACAAGCACCAAAUACUUGUGCUUUUACAAGUACCAUAGCCGGACUCUAUAUAUAUAUAUAUAUAUAUAUAUAUAAUUACAUAUAUAUUAUAUAUAUAUAUAGUUGGGCUGGUAUGCUUAUGGAAGCACGGAGCCCUCCGUGUUCCAAGUUGUUUUCGAUGUUCGGACUUUCGAAUCGACGGAUCGGCUCCGUUAAGUUGAUCUAGAGUAUUUGAAGUACCUAGAAAAUAAAUUUUGUGAUUUUUCGAUAUCAUUUGCCUAAUGAUCGAAGGCUCCAAAAUCAAUAUUUUAAUGGCCGUGGUGAGCCGGUUGCAAGUUUAACGGUGUAGAAAUAUCUAAAUCAUAUGAAAUUUUGAUAAAAAAUUCUUUAUACUAUAUAAAACAAGAUCAAUAAUUUUGAUCUAAAAUUUUAUUGUAUAUCAUCAUAUUUUGUAAGAUUUUUAUUUUCAGCCGUUGAUUUGAGCCACUUCGAUCACUAGGCAAAUGAUAUAGAAAAAUCGCAAAAUUUAUUUUCUAGAUACUUCAAAUACUCUAGAUCAAGUCUAACGGAGCCGAUCAUCGAUUCGAAGUCCGAACAUCGAAAAUGAAGUGGAAGCACGGAGCCCUCCGUGCCUUCCAUAAGCAUUCUAGCCGCACUAUAUAUAUAUAUAUAUAUUAUAUAUAUAUUAUAUGAGAGAAUUCUGCUACUAUACUAUUAAUAGUAUCAAACCUUGGUACUUCGAGUUUUCGGCCGUCGAAUGAAAAGGAUGUGCGUUAAUGAUAGUGGUCCCUAGUUAAAUUGAUAGUGGUCCCCUAGGUUGAAUGUGUGGGUUGGUUUAAUAGUAUAAUCUAACAGGUGAAAAUGAUCAAAAGGUAGAUUAACGGUGAAAAUCAAUAGUAUAAGGGCUUGUACUAUCGAUAGUAUAGUAGCCGGACUCUAUAUUAUAUAUAUAUAUAUAUUAUAUAUAUAAUAUGCUCCUAUACUAUCAAUAGUACCAAGUCUUUGGUACUAUUGAGUUUUUGCGUUGGAUGAAAGGAUGUGCGGUUAGGAUGAGUGGUCCCUAGGUUGAGUGGGUGGUUGGUUUAAUAGUAUAAUCUAACGGGUGGAAAUGAUCACAUGGUAGAUCUAACGGUAGAAAACUCUAUAGUACCAAAGGCUUGGUACUAUCAAUAGUAUAAUAGCCGGACUCUUCUCUCUCUCUCUCUCUCUUCUCUCUCUCUCUCUAUAUUAUAUAUAUAUAUUAUAUAUAUAUUAUAUAUAUAGCUCGCCGGAAUACUAUCGAUAGUACUAAGCUAGCGUUUUGUAAUAUUAAGUUUUUCACUAUUUGAUUUACCUUUUACUAUUUUUAUCCGUUAGAUUAUACUAUUAAACCAAUAACUCACUCAACCUAUGAGGCCAUAUCAUCCUAAACGUAUAUUUUUUCGUCCAAUUGUCGAAAAUCUAAUAGCACCAAUAGCUUGAUGCUAUUAAUAGCAUUCCAGCCUAUUCUUAUAUAUAUAUACAGAGUUGAGCUAUUAAUACUAUCAAUAGCAAACGGGCUCCGUUGCCACUCAUUUGUUUUCGAUGAUAGAGCCUCCAAAUCGACGAUCGGCAUCAUUGAAAUAUGAUCUAUACCACUUGAAGUGUUUAGAUCAAAUUUCAAAUUUUUCAACAUCAUUUGCCUAAUAAUCAAAGGGUUUCAAAAUUUGUAAUUUAAUGGUCGAUAUGAGGCGUUUUCUUGUUUAACGGCAUAAAAAUAUCCAAAUCAAUUAAAUUUUUGUUAAAAAUUCUUUAAACUAUUUAAAACAAGAUCUAUACUCUUGAUCUUGAUUACAAGACUCUUAUCAUCAUUUUUUUAAGAAUAUUCAUUUUCAGCCGUUCUUUUGUGUCCCUCGAUGGAUAAAUGAACAAUAUAAAAAAUUGUGUGAAAUUUGAUUCUAAAUACUUCAAAUGGUAUAGAUCAUGUUGAACGGUGCGAUCAUCAAUUUGUAGGCUCUAUCAUCGAAAACAAAUGGGUGGCAAAAGAGUUCGUUUGCUAUCGAUAGAUCUGCCUCAACUAUAUAUAUAUAUAUAUAUAUAUAUAUAUAUAUAUAACAAUUAACAACUAUGAAAGUUCAAAUAUCUGCCUCAAAGAAUUCGAAAGAUGCAUGCUAUUGCGGAAAUAAGUGACAAUAAUUUUGUCGCCACUUUCGGCAUUUAAUGGCGACAUUUGAUAAAUUCGAUGGUAACUAUUUUUGUCACAUGUAGUGAGAAAAUUUCUUAAGGGAUUUAAGUAACCAAGAGUAAUUUUUCGUAUUCAGUUGGUGCGAAGCAGUUUUCAAUUGGUAUGUUAUCUUCUCAAUGAAGAUAUAUACAAGUCAAGAAAAGAUCACUCGGAUUUUAGCAGGCCAUAAUGUAGAAAGAUACACACUUUUUAAUUGGUGUUGAUUGAGUACUGAUGUAUCCUUUUGAGAGGAUUUGGGCUCAAAUUAUUAUUUUUAUCCCUUUAGUCAUAAUCAAUUUGAUGUUGUUUGAUUUGAUUAAUUUGACGAUCGGAACAGUUGAAAAUAUUUUAGAGUAUUUAAAGUGAGUAGAAACUAAUUUUUUUAGAAUUUCUCAAUUUAUGCAUUCUGCUCUAUAUCACGCUGUCUUAAAUUUGAUUAUUUUACAGAUUGAUUAGAUGUAACUUGGCCUCUUGACGCAGGCCUAAUUAAGGCACGUUGAAACGGAAGAAGUAUAAGGACAGAAUGAGAGAGAUUUAUGCGAAAAAACCAAUUCUUUCACAAAGACAAAAAUAUUAUCAAUUUAUUCUCAAAACUUUUAUUACAUUAACUGAGUGCCAUGUCUAUAUAUAUAGGCGAUACUCCAAUCCUACUAGAUAAAAUAAUAAAUUCUAAUAUAUUUUUAAAUCUAAUCAGAUUACAAAUAAUCAAAUAAUUGGAUCAAAAUAAAAAAAAAUAUAAUUUUUUUUUGGAAAUAAUCUAAAAAUGCCAGAAUGCAUGGCUUUGCCAUUCGACAUGUAGAUCUUAAAAAAUAUAUUCCAAAUUAGGAUUGCACGCUGAAAUCGAAUAUUCAAGCGAAAGUUUUAGCCGUUUAAAGAUAUCUAGGCUCAGUUUGGUUAAGUCGUGUUUUCUCAUAAACUCUAAUACUAAAUUAGCCGCAUCACCUCUAUACUUAAAACAUGCUACUCUUCUAUACAUGUGUAGAGUUUAUAGCACUACAAGCCUCUUCCGAUAUAUAUAUAUAUAUAUAUGACACUUUACGGAAUACAUUUAAGUAGCUAGGAUGGGAUGGAGGGCUGAGGGAGGAAAGGGUCGCGUUGGGGGACGAGUAGGGCGGGAUUGAAGGCGGAGAGUAGGAUGAGGGCGACAGUGACGAGGGCAGAGACGAGGGACAAGACGAGCAUUAUUGCGUUCGGUACACCGCCUUUCACCUCUUGUGCGUACUUCUCGGCCGCCAGUGCCAGCACCGUCAGUGGAAAAGAGUACGCCCACCAUGCCAGACUGAAGGUCCUCAUUGAUCGCCAAAAUAGCAUCGGUCGUGAGACCUGCAUAAAUAAUUGUGUUUAUUAGGUCAAUGUACAUACAUUAGGUCAAUGUGCAUAUAUUAUUGUGUUCACUUUUGUGACGACGGCAGAGUGCGACUCUUCUCUACAAAAAUUUUUUGAGACUGUGGUGAGCCACGUAAUUCAGUUCUUGCAUUAAUUUCUUUCUGUCUAAAAGUUUUUUGUCAAAAUCAUAACACCUUAUUAAAUAGCAGAUUUAGAAAACAUCACUAGAGAAAAAUGAGGUGGUCCUUAUUCAAGUUGUUUUUUUUUUUUGGGUGGGGCCGGAUGGAUGUAUGCAUGCAUUUCUCAACAUGCAAUUAAUGGGCGAAUUUCUUUGCCUAUAUAAAACAUAUAUCUCAUAAUAUUAAUAGAUAUAUUAAAAUCAAAAUAUAACUCAUUAAUGCUUCAACUACUAAUUAUUGAGACUAAUUGAUUCCUUAUUAGUAACUAGUUUCGCACUUAAAAAUUUUAUUCAUAUAUUCCUUAGAUAAUGUACGUAGAUAAUAGUUAUCAUAUUAAUAGAUUUUGAUUUUGAAAUUUUAAUAGCCAAAUAGCAGGUGCAAACAUAUGAAGUGUACAUCUAUAGACACCACGUGGAGGCAAUAAUUCUCAUGCAUUGAUGGAUUCAUAUAUAAGCAAGUUAUUGCGUGCGCAAACACGACUUAAAUCAUAUUUAAUCAUAAUCAAUUUGGAUACCCUCUUCCCAGAAAAUCAAAAGAUUCUGGAAAUAAAUAAUCACGUUUAUUUUUUUAAAAUUAUUUUUGUAUAUAUAUAUAUAUAUAUAUAUAGAGUUGAGCUAUGAUACUUUUACAAGUAUCACCAUCAUUGUGCUAUUAGGUUUUAAGCCAUUGGAUCUACUUUUUGAUUAUUAAUAGUCCUUGGAUUAAACACUAUUUCACCUACCACCACCUACCACCAUCAUCUCAACCUCACAUCUCUCCAUCCAAGGGCUAAAAACACACAAGUAUCACCCCCAUGAUACUUUUACAAGUAUUCUAGCCCUACUCUCUCUCUCUCUCUCUCUCUCUCUCUCUCUCUCUCUCUCUCUCUCUCUCUCUCUCUCUAUAUAUAUAUAUAUAUAUAUAUAUAUAGCUAGGUUGUUAUACUAUCAAUAGCACGAAGAUCUCCGUGCUAUCAAUUUAGUUAUUUUUGAUGAUACGGUUUUCAAAGUGAUGAUCGGUUUUCUUAAACACCAUCUAUGCUAUUCAAAAUAUUUAGAAACCAAAUUUUAUAUUUUUUUCGAUAUUAUUUAACAAUUUUAAUGGCCGAUGUAAUGCGUUUAUAAAUUUAACGGUAUAAAACAAUUCAAAUCUAAAGAAAUUUUUAUAGAAAAUUCUCUUCACUAUUUACAGUAAGAUCAGUAUCUCUGAUUUUAAAUUUAAAUUUUUUAUCAUUAUUUUUUAUGAGAUUCUUAGUUUCAGCCGUUCAUUUUUAGACUACUCGUUUGAUAAGUAAAUGAUGUUGAAAAAUUAUAAAAUUUAGUUUUAUAAUAUUUUCAAUAGAGUAAAUCAAGUCUAGCAGAGCCGAUCGAUCGUCAAUUUGAAAGCUGCGUUAUUAUUAUUAUUAUUUUUGAAAAAUAGGUAAUAUGCUACCCGCUUCAUUUAUUUUAUUUAGAAAUAAAUUAACUUAGCUGAAACUAUGAAUCAAGUAGGAUUCGAACUUGGAAUCUCAGAUACCAACCACCAAUCCCUUUGCCACAUGCUCUAGGGACAGUUGGUGAAAGAUGCAUUAUUAAAAAUAAUUUAGUAGCACGAACACCUCUAUACUACUGAUAUAGUAUACCAGCUAUAUUUUCUCUCUCUCUUUAAAAUAUACACAACUACAUGAUAUCACUUACACUGAUGUGUAUUUCGAGAUGUGAAAGUAAACAAUCAUGUUUACUUUUAAAAAUAUUCUAACUAACCUAAUUAUUUGUAUAUUUAGAGCAAUAUAUGAUGUGGUAUACAUUGACCAUCUCUUACGCAGGUGAUAAAAGGCUUAAAUUGUCGGUAUCCAAAAUCCCUGAUUAGUUGAGCUAAGUUAUUUAAUGGUUGAUAUCUAAAAUUCCAAAUUCAAAAUUUAAUUAACCUAAUUAACUUUAUUUCUUAAAUAAAAAAAAACACAGGCCUAAAAAAUAGAGAAAAAAAAAAAGACAAAGAACAUGAUGUCACAAAAAAACAAAAGAAGCUACGUACUUCCCCCUUGUGCACGUGUUUUUAUUUUUAUUUUUUAUUUUUUUCUUUUUGGUCUAAAUAUUAAUUUGACAGAUAAUUUUGUUUUUGUUUUUUUGUUUUCGUGGUCUAAACUUUUGACAAAUAAUUUUGCCUUUUUCUUAGAACCUGGACUGCUGUUUUCCUACGCAAGCUAGCUGGAGACCUCCUUUGACAAAUUAAGAAGAAUCCUAAAACCUACAUUAUUUUGGCCUCUCCUUGAUAUUUGCAUUUUAAUUAAUGGUUUAAAUUUUCAUAUAUUUUUUUUACCGUACACCUCUUUUGUCAUCUUUGUAAUUAGCAGUGCACAAUGACGUAUUUGUUUCUUACUAGACCACUCUUUUGAAUAAAAGAUGAAAAAUCAUAUAUAUGUUACUCGCGCGUAUUUGGUGCUUCUGUAUAUUCGUGCACCAUAUAUCUAUACUAAUAUAUUAACUACUACAAAUUCAUGAUUUAGCGGCAUUUACUCUGCAGCAUUUAUUUAAAUAAUGCUAAUUAAUAUAUUUAACAGCAUUACUUGAUAAGUGCCGCUAAAUUUAAUAAUUUAGCAGUAAUUUACUGUUAAUGUUGCAAAAUAAAAUAAAUUAGCAGUAUAAAUUAGUGAAUGCCGCCGAAGUUUUCAGCAUUUUAUAAAAAAUGAUACUAAAUAUAAUAAAGUAGUAGCACUUAUUGCUAAAUGGCGCAAUAUUUGCUCCGCGAUAUUUAUUUAAAUCAUGUCAAUUAAUAUAUUUAGCAACAUUACUUGAUAAUUGCCGCUAGAUUUAAUUAUUUAGCAGCAAUUUGCUAUUAAUGUUGUAAAAUAGGAUAAAUUAGCAGCAUAAAUUAGCGAAUGCCGCUAAAUAUAAUAAACUAACGGCAUUUGUUACUAAAUAUCAUUACUAAUUAAUAUAUAAUUAUUAAUAAUUCCUUUUUUAUUUAGAAUAAAAAAUUUUAAAAUUAAAGUUUAAAAGUUGAAACAUAUAAGUUUAAAAAUUAAACUUAUAAUUUAAAAUUUAAAAUUCUAAAAUUUAUAUUUUAAAUUUUAAAUUCUAAAAUUAUUAAUUUUAAAAUUUUAAAAUUUUAAAUUUAUUUUAAAUUUUAAAUUUUAAAUUUAAAACUAUUAAUUUUGAAACUUAAAAUUUCAUAUUUCAAAAUUUAAAAUUUAAAUUUAGUAUCUAAAUUUUAAAAUUUUAAAAUUUUAAAAUUUUAAAAUUUUAAAACAGAAGACUUAAAAUAUAAAAAAUUAAAAUAUACAUAACUAAUAGUCGCUAGAGUAAGUGGCAAAGGAUUUGGUUGUUGGUAUUCGAGGUCUCAAGUUCAAAUCCUAGUUGAUUCACAAUUUUAGUAAAAUUUAAGACAAAAACAAAUAAAUGAAGCGAGUAGCAUCUCAAAAAAAUUAAAAUUUUAAUUCUAAAAUUUUAAAAUUUUAAUUCUAAAAUCAGAUAUUUGUAUUAGCGGUAUUAUAUUUAUGUGCCUCUAAUAAAUAAUUUAAAAUUAGCAUUUAAUCCCUUUUAGUGGCAUAUUCCUAAUGACACUAAUUAAUUUAUAUUGGCGGCAUUUAUAAUUAAUAUUGCUAAUACUUUUAGCAACAUUGGCAUAGACAGCAUUUGUGUCAUAUGCUGCUAAAAUUUUUAACAAUAUUUGUUGAUCAUUUAGCAGCAUAAAUAAAUGUCACUAAUGCCUAAUUAAUUUUCUAGUAGUGAUAUAUCAUAAUUUGCUUUUCAGGAGAUUACCAAUCGCUGAGACUACGGUUCAAUCGACGAGAAAUUAUUCUUAAAUCUUGGGAUAUUACAAUAUAUGUCAUUUUCUACCGCUUUGGUUUUUAAAAAUUUUUUAAAAAAUUCUUAUUUUUAACUUAAAAAGGACGUAAAGUAAUUUUUCAGCCGGAAUUGAAUGUGUCACGUACCAGGCAAAGGAAGAGGAAGAAUGAGAGGAAGAAGAGCAUCUUCGCGGCGGUGUCGAAGCCACCGCUGCCGGAGAUGGCGGCCCAGGCAACGCUGGCGGUGGCGGGGGCGGCGAAGAAUAAGAAGAACACCGGGCGGAGCAGUGCCGGGAGGAGGCUCUCGCUCCCCGCGAGGCGUUGGUACAGCGUCACGAAAAGUACGAGGUAGUGGGCCAAGCCCACCGUAAACAUGCACGUCGCAAUCUCCUUCAAGUCCGUGUCCGUCGUCGCCGCUGCCGCCGCCGCCGCCAUGUUCGCGAUCACCGUCAUCUGGCUCGUCGGGUUCGCCACCGCCGACAGGCAGUACCUCCGGCCCCUUAUAAACCACUGCCCGUACACUUUCACGUCCAGCACCAGAAUUGGGACCGCAAACNACUCUUAGAUAUUUAUUUGCAUUCAUUAAUUAUUAUUUUGUUGUUCUCUUGAAUGCUGCUGUCAUAAUACUAGUAUUUUCUAACGGUUUAAGUUAUUAAAAAGAAAAUUGGUAGAAAUGUACAAAACAUAAUUAAAUUAUAAAUUAUUUUGAUUUGGUUAUUUAAUUUUUUAAAAAUUUGAUUUCAGUAUAUAAUCUUUCUGUCUGUUUGUUUUGAAUCAGUCGCGACAUUUUAAGCAUAAAGUUUAUUCAUUAAAAUGUAAAAAUAAACAACACAUUUAAAUUUUAAAGUCAAAGUGUCAAUCACUGGCUCAAAAUAAAAUGUAUGCAUGCAUCUAUGUAUAGAGAGAUAAACAGUUAUUUUAUAUGUACUACAUACCAGAGGACGUGGUACGCGGGGCUCUCGGGACGGAGGAAGGGCGAGGAGGCGCACUGGAGGAGGAGGAGCGCGGAGGCCCAUGGGGCGAAGAGGUAGUUGACGCCGAUGUGGUGGCCGAGCUCGGCCUUAAAGCACUCGAAGCGGCAGGUGCAGCGAAUUGCGUAAAGAGCACAAAGCACGACGAGGGACGACAGUGCGAAGGACCAGAGAACGUCGAAGGCGGCGACGGGGAGGAGGUGGAGGAUAAAGUGGAGCGCCCGAGGGUCGGCGGCGGAGAGGGUCUUCCAUAGUAGGGCUUGGCCGCAGAGGGAAAGGCUUAUGCGAAAGUAACCCGCGUGGAAUCUCGUUAAAACUGACAGCUUCUGCAUAAGUGCUUUUUGAACAUGUUCUUCUCCGGGGGGAUGCAGAUUUUCUGAAUAUCGAUGCUCCAUUAGUUACUUGCUAGAGAGAGAAUGAAGUAAAGAGAGAGAAUGAAGUAAGGGGAUAGCAUACAAUAUUGGUUGUUGGUAAGUUCUAUUACUUAUUUGCAUGUAUUUAUAGAGAGGGGGGAGAGAGAGAGAGAGAGAGUAUAUUAGGUGGAACACACAAUUAAAAAUUGAAUUGAGAACACUGAAAGCAGGGGCGGAGCCAUUGGGGGCCACAGUGGUCAUGGCCCCCCUAUAUCUUUGAAAAUUACAUAUUAGUCCUUUAUAAUAAAAAAAUAAAAUAUUAUAAAUUUUAAUUUUAAGGGGCCAAAUUAAUAUUUUUAAUAAAAUUUGUGUCUUAAUUUUUUUUCAAGUUUUUUGGUUCUUUUUCUUCAACUAUUACAGUCUUAUUCCUCUUUAAGCAUUUUGUCGUUAUUAGUGAAUCUGACAAUUUUUUUUUUUUUCACUAUUCGUGGUCGAAUUUUUCUCCUAUCAAAAUUUAAAUCUUGGCCCUCCCGAAUCUUAAUAUCUCGCUUAAAUUUGUCCCUGAGUGAAAGUGAUGCAAAGGUCAAACUAUGUAUUCAAAUGCAUCAAUGAGGUUUCUAUGAGAAAUAUGUAACAUUCCAAUCAAAUUUUGAUAGUUUUGGUUGAAAAGUUGAAUUAAUUAAACAUAUAUAUAUAUAUAUAUAUAUAUAUAUAUAUAUAUAUAGUAGAGGUAUUAUACUAUCGGAAGUAUAAAAAAGUUGGUGCUUUCGAUUUUUUAGCCCUUAGAUGAACCCCAUUGAUCAUUUCUAACCAUUGGAUUAAUAUUAUUAACCAAUGGGGACCACUCAACCCUAGGGGGAUCACUCAACCCUAAAGGGACCGCUAUAAUCCCAAUCGUAGAAUUUUUGAUCCAAGGGCUAAAAAAUCAGAAGCACCAACUACUUUAUGCUUCCAAUAACAUAGUAGCUCUACACUAUAUAUAUAUAUAGUCUAGUAUUAUACUAUCGAUAAUACUAAGCACUUGAUGCUAUCGAGUUUUUCGCCAUUAGAUCUACCUCUUCAAUUAUUUCCACCCAUUAAAUCAUACUAUUCAACCAAUCACCUACUCAACCCAUGGAGCCACUAUCAUCUUAACGUAUAUACAAUUAGGCUACUAUACUAUUAAUAUCACCAAACGCUUANGAGUAGAUCUAACGGUAAAAAACUUAUAAGUACCAAGUGCUUGGUGCUUUUACAAGCACCAUAGUUGGACUCUAUAUAUAUAUAUAUAUAUAUAUAUAUAUAUAUCAGUUUGAAAAAAUGUCUUACAUACCUUUCAAUAUUAAAUAUAACACACAUGUUCUUAUUCUAUUCAACGCUCUCUUUUAUGUCUGAACUCGAAGUUUUUUUAAUAGGCCAACACAUAUAAAUUAAUUGAAAUAAGAGUGUUAAAUAAUUUAGCUGCAUGCCAAAAAAAAUUAGUAGUCAUCACAAAAGGAUAAGUAGCAAUGUUGUGACGGCCCAAUUUUCCAUAGGGUCACCCAUCCUAGGACUACUCCCGUCCUGGCACGGGUCUGACAAACGUGUUAUGAACAUAAGUAUUUAAAACGUCGUUUUUUGGCAACUUAAGCUUUUUAAGCCUCGCCCAAACUCAAAACAUGAAUAUUUUAGAACUCCGUUACAAUGAUUGUUCUACAUUAUAAACAGCAAGGAUUCUAACAGGGAGCUCAAAUUCAGAACUUAAUUCUUUCUUUGAUAUUAUGUUAAAUAAUAUCAAAUAAUUAAUUUCUCAAGAAACUUAAAGCUGUCAGAAAAUAAUAUUUUAUUAUUUUAUAUAUGUGUUCAAUAUUUAUACGCAAUCAAUCUUCUUGGACCAGCUUUUGAUGAGUUGGCAAAUUGGCUUAGGGUGUGUUUGGUUCCACGUAAAAUUGUGAAAAAAAAAUUUCACUGGAAAAAUUUUUUUUGGAGGAAAACAAAUUUUACGUUCUUUAAUGUUUGGUUUGUAGGAAAGGAAAAAUAGUUUUCUGUCAUGCCCCGGAUUACUCGUUUCCCCGGGCACGCCAACAAAUCUGCCAUAUACAAAAGAAUUUUCCCUGUAUUCGAAGCGAUAGCUGUACCUGUUAUCAAACAAUACUACAACUAGUAGUAUAGAGCUGCUAGAAGAAAUAAGAUAAUAUAUAUAUAUAUAAACAAAAGGGGGUAACUAUACAUACAAGCAUCCUGAUAACCAAAACACUCGCUCUAGCGAGAUACAACAUCAGUAUGUAUAAUAAUCCAAAAACUACAACUACCUGUAGCUGGUACUCCUCUAGCUCUGCAACUCAUCAGGAAGGGCUCUAACUCGCAACACCCUUUCCACGAUCAGACUCAGCAGCAAUAGCAGCCGAAGAAGAAGGCUCUGCAAAAGAUUUCAACAAAUAGGAGGGAGAACUAUUGCAAAAAGAAGUAGUCCUCAGUGGGUACCGUUACCGACCUCAACGGCUCACUCACUAAGUCUACAGAUGUAAACAAGUAUAGAAAGAAAACUGGAAUAAAUCUACAGCUAUAUGCACCUAUACUAUCUCGGUUUAAUACCAACAAUUUGUAGAACACUGGAAAUACAGACCCAAUCUCAUUAGGGAGAGUAAACAUACCCGCCCCAGGGACUGUGAACACACCCAUCCUGCUUGUCGAAGCUACACUAUCUGACACCAAACCAGGUCGUCAGUGGAAAGCAAGUCCAAUCAGGACAAAACGACACCAAUGCAAACGCACAAAGCCCGACUCCGGAGUGGCACUCGUGGCCGCUACCCAACCGAGUAUGCAAGCGUGUCUCUGUCGAGCUCAAUCAGCCUCUCACAGGCUAUAAUCAAGUAAACAGGAUCUAACUGGUCUAACAACCAAAACAUACGUGCCCUUGGCACAAUCUGAUGCAAAAACAGUAAUCUGGCCCACCGUCAACCCCAAAGGCACCUGACAAUCUGGAACAGUCUAAACAACACUGGAAAAAUAAGCUCGGCAUCCCAGCACGAGCGUAAUAUUAUUCUACACUAUUCUGGGUAUCCACCGCCCACAAACUGCGGUGAUAUAAAUAAACUACGGCUCAUAGAGCUAAAUCUGGUUGUUUUAACAUAUGACAGUGUAGAAGCGCCAGUUUUCUCCUAAAUCAAAUUCAAGUCGAACAUGUAUUAUUUAACUAAUAUUCUAAGCUCCAAUUCAGAUUUUAGAAACACAAUAAAUCGAUGAAUUGAGCAAUGAAACAUGACAAUAUCCACGAAUACAUGCUAACAAUAGAACUUAGGAGGAAAUCCGCAAAAAUCCGGUAAGCAUCACUUUGACCCACCUCGAAAAGCUAAUCCAGCCAUGGCAAGAAGUCGAAAGGAGAGGAAAACACGCGUUCACCCGGCCUCCAACGGCGUAAUAGCGAUGUCCACACGCUUGAACGGCUCUCCGAAACGACGACGAAAAUCUCCCGAGCUCGAGCUCUUCACCGUGCACACGAGCUAAAUUAAAGAGAGAUAGAGAGAAAAAGCUAAUUAACUUCACUCCCUCCUCUCCACCUCUAAUUAAAGCGGUGGGGAUAAGGAUGGGAAAGCACGUGGACUCCGCUACUUAGUUAAAAAAAAAUUGCCAACAAGCCCCCCCUAUAACUAAGUAUUCCACUUUAGUCCUCUAUAAUAUAAAUCUUAAGUUUCAAAGUCCGUUUUUACGUCUAUUUUGAGCAAACGUCACCAACUCAAUCAAGCAUAAAUUUAUACUGUAACCUUGACAAUUUGUUAUGGUUCAGUAUAUCACAUCCUCCCGUUCUAAAAAAAAGUUUCGUCCUCGAAACUUAAAAUAUACCUCAAUCCUGAGUUUCGAACAAGUAAGAGUAGGACUCUCACAUCACCGUCUCUGGCUCCCAGGUCGCCUCACGCUCCUCGUGAUGACUCCACUGCACUUUUACAUAAGGAAUGACCCGAUUGUUAAAUUCCUUCGUUUCACGAGCCAAAAUUCGCACCGGUCGCUCCUCAUAUCUCAAGUCCUUGCCAAGCUCUAGCGGAGUGAAGUCUAUCACGUGAGAUGGAUCGAACACAUAUCUCCUCAGUGUUGAGACGUGAAAAACAUCAUGGAUACCGGCCAGUCGAGGGGGUAAAGUAAUCCUGUAAGCAACUGGCCCAACUCGCUCCAAUAUCUCAAAAGGGCCUAUAAAGCGUGGACUGUGCUUUUCACGUAUUUCGAAUCUACGAAUCCCUUGGAACGGCGAGACUUUGAGAAAACAUGAUUUCCAAUUUGGAACUCUUAAGUCUCGUCUCCUGGUGUCGGCGUAGCUCUUCUGGCGGCUCUGAGCUGUCAAAAGGUAUCGUCGCAUUGCUUUAACCUUUUCUUCAGCCUCAAUCAGAAUCUCAGGCCUCAAAGUCUUUCUUUCACCCACAUCACUCCAAUACAAAGGGGAUGGACACUUGCGUCCAUACAACGCUUCAAACGGAGCAAUCUGAAUGUUCGCUUGAUAGCUGUUGUUGUACGCAAACUCAGCCAGUCUCAAAUGUCGAUGCCACCCUACUCUAAAGUUCAGGACACAUGCUCUCAGCAUGUGCUCCAAAGUCUGAAUGGUCCGCUCAGACUGACCAUCCGUCUGUGGGUGAAAUGUCGUGCUGAAAUGCAACUGUGUACCCAGGGCUGUCUGAAGACUCCUCAAAAAGUGCAAAACAAAUCUCGGGUCUCUGUCUGAUACAAUCGAGAUUGGCACACCAUGCAACCUAACAGUCUCAUCCAGAUAUAGCUGAGCAAGCCUCUCCCUGGACCAGGUGGUCUGUACUGGUAAGAAGUGAGCAGACUUAGUCAGUCUGUCCACUAUCACCCAAAUCGCAUCGAACCCACCUUGAGCUCUAGGCAAUCUUAUGAUAAAGUCCAUCGUGAUCUGCUCUCAUUUCCACUCGGGCACUGACAGACUCUGAAGCUUGCCUGCAGGUAUCUGGUGCUCUGCCUUUACCUGUUGGCAAGUCAAACACUGAGCUACAAAUUUGCCAAUGUCUCUCUUCAUUUCAUUCCACCAGAAGUGUGCCUUCAAAUCCUUAUACAUCUUGGUUCCACCAGGGUGAACCGUAUAAGGUGAAUAAUGAGCCUCUUUCAAAAUCUCUUCUCAGAUCUCUAAAUCCAUGGCACACACAGUCGGUCUCUGUACCGCAGUACUCCCGAACUGUCCAUAACAAAACUCUCUGCCUGUCCCCUCUCCAACUGCUCUCUAAUCCUCAACAAAUGCGGGUCUCCACUCUGUUUCUCUCGCAUCCUAUCCAACAGAGUGGGCUGCAAAACUAUAGACAUCAUUCUUGCAGUAUACCCAGGGGACACAAUCUCGAGCCUCAACCGCUGCAGCUCCUCGAGUAACGGCCUCUGCUAAGUAAUCAACAUACUCAAGCUCUGCACUGACUUCCUGCUCAACGGAUCUGCCACCAUAUUCGCCUUAUCGGGAUGAUACUGAAUACUAAUAUCAUAAUCCUUCAGUAACUCCAACCACCGGCGUUGCCUUAGAUUCAAUUCCUUCUGGGUGAACAAAUACUUGAGACUUUUAUGAUCGGUGAAAACCUCGCAGUGCUCGUCAUACAAGUAAUGCUGCGACAACUUCAAGGCAGAAACUACCGCAGCAAGCUCCAAGUCAUACGUAGGGUAAUUCUUCUCGUAAUCCUUUAACUGCCGUGAAGUAUAAGCAAUUACCCUACCAUGCUGUAUUAGCACAGAGCCCAACCCACUGUGCGAUGCAUCACUGUAGAUCACAAAUCCUUCCCCCAUCACUGGAAGGGCAAGGAUAGGAGCUGACAUCAACCUCUGUCUCAGCUCAUCGAAGCUCCUCUGACAAUCCUCACUCCAGAUGAAACUAAUCCCCUUUCGAGUCAAUCGAGUGAGGGGUGUUGAAAGCUUCGCAAAGCCUUCACAAACCGACGGUAAUAUCCUGCCAGUCCCAGGAAACUCCUCACCUCAGUCACCGUCGUCGGUCUGGGCCAAUCCCGAAUAGCAUCAAUCUUCUUCGGGUCCACUGCCACUCCAACUGCAGAGAUCACGUGGCCCAAGAAAGCAACCUUCCGCAACCAGAACUCGCACUUCUUCAACUUGGCAUACAACUUCUUCUCUUGCAGAAGUUGCAGCACAAUCCCCAAGUGCUCAUCAUGCUAGGUGUCGCUCCGGGAGUAUAUCAAGAUAUCAUCGAUGAAGACUACCACAAAUCUAUCCAAGUAUGGCUUGAACACUCUGUUCAUCAAAUCCAUAAAUGCGACAGGGGCAUUGGUCAAUCCAAAAGGCAUCACUGUAAACUCAUAAUGCCCAUACUGAGUCCAGAAAGUCGUCUUGGGAACAUCCUCGGCUCUCACCCUUAACUGGUGGUAACUUGACUGGAGAUCAAUCUUCGAGAAGACACAAGAUCCUUGCAGCUGAUCAAACAGAUUAUCAAUGCGCGGCAAAGGAUACUUGUUCUUGAUGGUCACUUUAUUCACCUUCCGGUAAUCCACACACAAUCUAAGUGAACCAUCCUUCUUCUUCACAAAUAACAUCGGCGCUCCCCAAGGCAACACACUGGGUCUCACAUACCCCAUAUCCAUUAGAUCUUGAAGCUGCACUUUUAACUCUCUCAGCUCUGCCGGUGCCAUCCAAUAAGGUACCUUCGAGAUUGGUGCAGCUCCAGAAACUACAUCAAUCACAAACUCAAUCUCCCUCUCCGGCGGCAUCGUCGUCAACUCCGGAGGAAAUACAUUCGGAAAAUCGCAGACUACAGGGAUAUCCUUGAGUCCCGGUACCGCCGUAGGCACCUUUACCACCAUAGCCAGAAAAGCGAUGCAUCCUCUACUCAUCAGCUGUCGAGCCCUCGCCGACGAAAUCCAGGUGGCACACAAUGUACUCCUGCAGCCUCUAAAAGUGAACUCCUCCUGGCCUGGCUAGCGGAAUAUCACCGUCCUCGAUCCACAAUUAAUAGUAGCAUAAUACCGCACUAGCCAAUCCAUGCCGAGCACAACGUCCAAGUCCUACAGCUGCCCUAACACCAAUAGGUCUGCGGGCAUGAUCCACGAAUCUAACUGCACUGGACACGACCCGGCAACAAUAUUUAUUAUUAUAAUAUUUUUUUGGCCGUACACCCUCGCUAAAUUACCUAUUUAUAGGUGAUUAAUUAGGGCUAAAUCUCAAUCCUACUCUAACUAGUAUUAGAGUAUAAUUAAUCCGAAAAUCAAAUCCAACCGAAUCCGCUUAAUCUGACGAUACAAAUAAAUCAAAAAUAUUUAAUAACGGGUUUAUCACAAAACUACAAUCAUGGCCACAUAUUUAAAUUCUAAUUUAAAUUAAUUACAUACGGGUAUUAUGUAACACCCCGUAGUUUUGAAGCUUUUGUUUUGACUCCUAUUCAUUUUAAGUUUGGACCUUUUUGUGAUUUCCAAUCUUUAAGGGACUCGGCGGCAUUUUGUUAUUUUAUUAGUAUCUAACUUAAUUAAUUUUUUCCCUAGCCAACCCUCACCCGAUCCUUUUCUUUUCUUUUCUCCCUCACGACUCCUCUCUUUCUCACUCGACCAUCUCUCCCCCUCACCGCAACCAUACGACCUCGGCCGUUCUGCACGUGCGCGCGCGACGUCGUCUGAUCGCCGCGGUCAUCCGUAUUCGCAUUCAUCGCCGCCGUAAUCCUCAUCCAUUGAUAUUUUGAUUCGUCAUCGUUUUUCCGCCUUCAAGGUCUUUUUCUUUUUAUUUCCUUACAUUUAUUCUUGACAAGAUCUAAUUCCUUAUUCAUUGUUGUAUGAUUAUUUUGAAUACUUAUAUCUUAAUGUUUGGGAUUAUAAACCAUUAGAAAUCUGAUUCGUUGUGAUCUUUUUCUUGUCUGUUGAACUGUCAAAUUUUAUAUCUCACAUCCUCCAUAAAAUUUAGUUGUGUAAACUUCGCACAUUCUACACAUAUUUGAAAUGCCCAUUAUAUGUUCGAUGAAACGCCUUUGAGAGGGCGAAUUUCGUUUUGUUUCUAAUUUCGAUCUCAUCUAAUUGUAAUUUGCCUAUUAAUAUUCCAACAUCUGAAAACUCACUGUUUGAGCAUUGAAAUCUUCGUUUAUUAUUUAAAUUUCCAUUCAUGUUAUCUUCUUGGAAUAAUUUAAAUUCUUCAAAACUCCCUCAUCCCUUUGAUCACUAUUUGAGGUUUGUCAAAUUUAUUAUUCUAAAUCCCUUUGUGCUCCGUCCCGACCUAUUUGCAUUCCAUUAUAUCCUCUUUGCAUGUUCAUUUUAGUUAGCUUAUAUAGAAUCGCAUGUCCCUAUUUUAUGUUCCGACGAUUGAUUUUCUGCACAGUUUUGACUGGAAAAUUUCUCUCUUUGAAGCUGCGUUAAGGUAAGCGACCGGACACCCGUUAGUUUUUGUAAGAUAAUUUAGGAAAAUAUUUUGAUUAUAUGAAAAUCUUAUUUUGUAGAAUUUAAAAUUAAGGGUUAAGCUUAUUAUUAAGUAUUUCUGUAAAUUGAUUUUCAACCGUGAUUGACAAGUCCUUUUAGCAAAAUAAACUUUUGAAAUUUGAUAAUCUGCUCUGUAAAUUAGUAACUGGAUACACUUUGAAUUAUGAUGUCUCUUGGUAUUCUGCUAUUCUUAUGUUGGCCAUGUCGACAUGUACUUUGUUAUAGAAGCAAGCUUCGUCUUCGUAUUGUGCCUUCGGGUGUCUGCGCCUAUCAGCGCCUCUGUUUUGUUUGCGCCUUCGGGUGCCUACGCCUAUCCGCGCCUUUGUUUUGUUGCACCUUCGGGUGCCUCUGUUUUGUUUACGCCUUCGGGUGUCUUUUGAUCUCGCAAACGGAUCAUAUGAUAUAGUUAGAGGCCUUCGGCUGUCUUUUUAUCUGCGUUCACUUGUUAUUUCUUCGCACCCACAUUUGUUAUUUACAGUAUCUUUAGACCAAAUUCUGUUUGCUUGGCAUAUUAAACUUUAGUUCUGCUUAUAUGAUAUUUCAUUUGACACUAGUUGGAACUGAACUGUUAGUUUCAUCUUUUGACUAUUUAGAUUUAAUCGAAAUUUUGUGAUUAUCUUUUGCAUGUUAUCUUUCUAAUUCUGUAGCCUUGCAUAUUUACUAAAUUAGUAGAUAUGCGGCGUCUGUUAUGCCUCGGGUUUGGGGCGUGACAUAUUACAUCUUACCCCCUUUAAAAAAAAUUUCGUCCCCGAAAUUUACUUAACAGAAUUUGGAAAGAGCUGAGGAUACUUGCUCCGUAUCUCCUCUUCCGGCUCCCACGUCGCCUCAUUCUCCGCGUGAUGCCUCCACAGCACACGUACCAGCUGAACCGUCCUUUUUCGCAAAACCUUUUCCCUUCGAUCCAAGAUCCAGAUAGGCUGCUCCACGUAUGAUAGGUCCUCUCUUAACUGAAUUGGAGAAUAGUCGAUGACGUGUUUUAGAUCUUGAACAUACUUUCGCAACAUCAACACAUGGAACACAUUAUGCACCCUAGCAAGAGAAGGCGGUAAUGCUACUCGGUACGCCACAUUGUUGACUCGUUCCAGUAUUUCAGAAGGUCCAAUGUAACGUGGAUUCAGCUUUCCUUGAAGCCCAAACCGUAUUACCCCCUUAGUUGGCGACACCUUCAGGAACACAUGAUCACCAACUGUGAAUUCUAACAUUCGCCGACUAUUAUCACUAUAGCUCUUCUGUCUAUUCUGUGCGGCUCGUAGACGUUCUCGCACAACCCGCACUUUUCAUUAGCUUGCUGGACCAGCUCAGGCCCUAGAAUCUGCCUCUCGCCAACAUCAUUCCAGUGGAUAGGCGAUCUACACUUUCUUCGAUAGAGAGCUUCAAAAGGGGGCAUCUGUAUGCUGGCUUGAUAACUAUUAUUGUACGCAAACUCCGCCAAUGGUAAGUGCCGGUCCCACGACCCACCCCAGUCAAUCACGCAUGCUCGCAACAUAUCUUCUAAGAUCUGUAUCGUGCGCUCUGACUAACCAUCGCUCUGCGGAUGAUAUGCCGUACUCAUAUCCAAGCGAGUCCCCAAAGCCUCAUGCAAGCUAUGCCAAAAUCGCGACACGAAUUGCGGAUCUCGAUCCGAAACGAUGGAUACCGGGACACCAUGUAGUCUCACCACAUCUUUAAUAUAUAAUUCCGCAAGUUUCUCCAAAGGAUAUGUCACCUUAAUAGGUAUGAAGUGCGCAGACUUAGUCAGCCGGUCGACGACCACCCAAAUCGCAUCGGACCCUGACUGUGUACGUGGUAACCCUACCACAAAAUCCAUAGUAAUCUUCUCCCAUUUCCACUCGGGUAUCGGCAGUGGCUGCAAUAAUCCCGCCGUCCUUUGGUGCUCAGCUUUGGCCCGCUGGCAUACAAGACACUGUGAAACAAAUCGAGCAAUGUCUCGUUUCAUGCCGGCCCACUAGAAAAUUUCUCUUAUGUCACGAUACAUCUUUGUGCUACCCGGAUGUAUGGUGUAAGCUGACGAAUGAGCCUCCUCCAAGAUUUUUCUCUUUAAGGCCUCAUCUUUGGGAACAUAUAGUCGAUUACCGUACCUUAACGAUCCAUCCUCGUGGAUAUGAAAUUCUAUCUGAGAACCUGCCCCCACGGCCGCUCGGAUCUUCUGAAGAGCAGCAUCGGAUGACUGGGCCAACUUAAUUUGAUCCAAUAAUGUGGGUCGAAUUCGAAGUUGAGCCAAUCGAGCUCCCGGCUCGUGAAUAGUCACCUCUAAGUCUAUCUUUCGUAGAUCCUCUAAAAGAUACUUUUGCUCAGUAAUCAGUGUAGCCAAAUUUCCAGUGGCAUUGCGGCUUAGCGCAUCCGCUACCACAUUCGCUUUUCCGAGAUGAUACAAGAUUGUCAAGUCAUAAUCCUUCAUAAGCUCAAACCAUCUACGUUGUUGCAUAUUUAGCUCUUUCUGAGUGAAAAGAUAUUUUAAGCUUUUAUGAUUGGUGUAGAACUCACAUUGCUCCCCAUAAAGAUAAUGACGCCAAAUCUUAAGAGCAAACACUACUGCGGCAAGCUCUAGGUCAUGAGUAGGGUAGUUUUGCUCGUAUGGCUUUAGCUGUCUAGAAGCAUAAGCAAUCACUCGAUCAUUUUGCAUCAAGACACACCCUAAACCUCGUAGGCAUGCAUCACUAUAAACAGUGAAGCCUUCACCACACAUAGGAAGUGCCAAGACAGGAGCCGUGAUCAAUCGUCGCUUCAGCUCCUGAAAGUUCUCCUCGCACUCAUCGGUCCACACAAAUUUCGCUCUUUUUUUUGCGUCAACAGCGUCAAAGGGACCGCGAUCAGAGAGAACCCCUCUAUGAACCGUCGAUAAUAGCCAGCUAGGCCUAGAAAACUACGAAACUCGGUAGCACUCGUAGGCCUCGGACAUGCCUCCACAGCUUCGACCUUUCUUUUAUCAACCGAGAUACCAUCCUUGGACACGACAUGCCCCAAGAAAGAGACCUCUUCCAACUAGAAGUCACAUUUCUUUAGUUUAGCAUAAAGUUUCCUGUCUCGUAGGAUCUGGAGCACUAAUCUCCGGUGUUGUUCGUGUUGCUCUGCACUCCGCGAGUAAAUAAGAAUGUCAUCAAUAAACACCACCACAAACUAGUCUAGAUAAGGCUUGAAGAUCCGAUUCAUUACGUCCAUAAAUGUAGUCGGAGCAUUUGUCAACCUGAACGGCAUAACAAGAAACUCGUAAUGCCCAUAGCGCGUCCUAAACGCCGUCUUAGGAAUAUCCUCAGCCCUGAUCUUCAGCUGACGGUAGCCCGACUGCAAGUCGAUUUUUGAGAAAAUCUAGGAUCCUUGUAGUUGGUCGAAUAAGUCAUCAAUACGAGGUAGAGGAUAUUUGUUCUUCACCGUGAUCCGAUUCAACUCUCUAUAGUCAAUACACAGUCGCAGACUUCCAUCCUUUUUCUUCAUGAACAAAACUGGUGCACCUCAUGGCGAAACACUCGGUCGAAUAAAAUCUUUAUCCAGCAGCUCCUGUAACUGGUCUUUCAAUUCCCGCAACUCUGCGGCAGCCAUCCUAUACGAGGCUUUAGAGAUAGGUUCCGCAACUGGAAUCUCCCCAAACUUUAGCUGCUCAUUUUGUGAGUCCACCAUGUACGCUAAGAUAGCGAAGCGCCCGUUCCGCAGCAUUUUAGUAGCCUUCAAGGCUGAGAUGAUUCUCGGGGGAGAGCGGCUUCGAUCACCGACAAAGAUAAACUCUGAUCCGUAGGAAGUACAAAACACCACCUUUCGACCAGAGCAAUCGAUAGUGGCUCCAUGGGCCGUUAGCCAAUCCAUCCCGAGGAUGACAUCGAACUCUUUCAUAUCGAUGACGAUAAGGUCAGUUGGCAACACAUGACCGUUGACUUCUAUUGGACAAGAUUUGCACACUCGGCAAACCUUAACGCCUCCCACAGGCGUGUCAACCCACAAAUCACAAUCCAACGGUAAAUGUGUCAAACCAUAAUCUAAGACAACCUUACUAGAUAUGAAAGAAUGCGUGGCACCCGAAUCAAAUAUAACUGUCAGGACGUCCGCGCCUCCUGAUCCAUCCUGCUAUGUCAUAGCAUAAGCUCGUGCCUGGCUUGUCAGACCCGAGCCACUCGAGUCCCUCCAGUUUUGUAUCAACCUUUGCGCAUGCGGACCCAGUGGGGCCAUCCCGCUUGUUGAUGCUCCCGCACCUUGCUGGUGGUUUGCAUCUCGCUUUUGUUUCUUGACUGGGCAGUUGGCAAUUUUAUGUUCAAAUGAACCACACUCAAAACAGGCGCCCGACUCCCACCUGCAUCUAUUUGUACGAUGAGGUCCGCCACAAUAGUCACACUUCAUAUCUUUAGGUUGUGGUCGUGGGGGUCGACCUCCAUCUUUUUAUCUCGCGCCGCCAUUCCUACUCUUCCGAUUGUCUCGACGUCCGGAUGCACCUCCUGACGAAGACUGAGAAGGCGGGGCCUGAGUUCGACUCGGCUCAGAAAUAGUCGGUGCACUCUGCGUCCUUUGUAAUUCUUUCUCUAAUAGCAAUGCCUUGUUUACAACAUCUCUUAGAGUCGGUAGCUCAUAACCAACAACCAGUUACCUAAUGUCUGGCCUCAGACCUUCCUCAAAUUUUCAAGCUCGCUCCAGUUCGGACUCCACCAGUUUAGGAGCAAAGCGCUCUAACCGAGUAAAUUCGAGCUCGCACUCGAUAACCGUGCGAUUACUCUAUUCCAAGUGUAUGAACUCUGCCUUCUUAGCUUGACGAAUACUAUCUAGAAAGUACUUGUCAUAGAAAAUCUUACAAAACUCCUUCCAUGUCCAAGAUUGUGUUUUGUCGCUGUGUCCGUCCCGAACUGACUUCCACCACUCAUAAGCCCCUUCUCGAAGCAUAUAAAUGGCGAAAGUCACCUGUGUCUCUCCUCUGAUGCCCAUAUGCGUCAAGGCCUUCUCCAUCUCCUGGAGCCAAGACUCCGCCUCUAGAGGAUCUGUCGACCAACGAAAAAUAGGAGGAUUUAGCUUCUAAAAAUCAAUAAGGCUAUUUCCACCUCGAGGAUUGCUACUUUGCAUUGCCUUGAGGCCUCUGAUCUCUUCCUGUAGGGCCAUCAUUUGAUCUUGUUGUGUUUUAAUAACACUCAGCAUCUCUUGUAAUGGGUCAUGCGGCAUUCUCUGUCGCUUUCUUGCUGAGGAUACUUCUGGUUGCGAGUUCUCUGGUGGUAGAUCCCCCGGUGGAAUAGGAUCAACAUGGUACAUUAGCUUGCGAAGUGACAGUCCUCCGAGAAUGAGGCAUCGUCUACAAAACAGAACACAAUCAAGACAUAAAAUUUCGCUAAACCCUCGCCUCGUGUCCAAAAAGAAUCCCACGCACUCGCGCGUCCUAAAUCCCUAAGUAUGGUGUCAUUUUGCCCUAAGGUGUCAAUAACCUAGGCUCUGAUACCACUAAAGCUGUCACGCCCCAGAUCCGACUGCUCGGAUAUGAACCGCAACAACCGGCCACGAAUUCAGAGGAAGAACCUCCGAAAACGGAAGGCCUUAAAUUGAUCCAAAGCCACCAUCUCAGUUAAAAACUAAAUAAUUUAUUAAUUAAAACAAAACUAAACAAUAACUCCUAAAUGUCCAUAUAAUCAAUCUCAUGUCAAAAUAAAUCAUAUGUCCAAAAUUUGAAAUCUAUCUAACGAGUUCUCGCCGGCCAAUUAUCUCACACGCCCCGACUCUCGGUACCUGAAACAGUAGACAACAAAAGUAAGCGCAAUGCUUAACAAAAAAUCUACUUCAAGAAUAACGAUAAUUUAAAUUUGAAACCACAAAGGUCAUAAUUUAGAGCAUCUCCACUCCGUCGCUCUAACCGUGAGAGCUACAAUUACGCGCUAUUUCUCCUUGAAAGCCGCCUACCGGAUAAAUCCCUCUCCUCCGAAGAAUCCGACCGCAACAGUCAUAUCUAAUAAUAGAACAUGAUAAUAAUAAUGUGCAAAAUAAAUAAACCAUGUCUGUCAAUAAUAAUAAUAAAAUCCACUCGGAUGUAUCAACAAUUAGUAAAGAAAACAGAUAAUAAUUAUGUCCCGAACCCACUCGGAUCCGCAUAUUUUCUACCGUUU